UACAGAGGGGGCAAGCGUUGUUCGGAAUUACUGGGCGUAAAGGGCGCGUAGGCGGCCUUCUAAGUCAGGCGUGAAAUCCCCCGGCUUAACCUGGGAACUGCGUCUGAUACUGGAGGGCUUGAGUGCGGGAGAGGGAUGUGGAAUUCCAGGUGUAGCGGUGAAAUGCGUAGAUAUCUGGAGGAACACCGGUGGCGAAGGCGGCAUCCUGGACCGACACUGACGCUGAGGCGCGAAAGCUAGGGUAGCAAACGGG
rnacentral:rRNA from 1 species